rnacentral:misc_RNA from 1 species
CAAUUUCAUCAACUAAAGAACAACGGUUAUAAACCAACUCCACAGAAGUUCGAACUUAUAUAGAAAUUCUUCUACAUUUUAACCAUCACGAUGCAUCAGAGUCAAUAUCACAAUGUAGGAGUGCUAUAAAGAAUAGGGUCAACAAACUCUUCUCUGAGAACUCAUCAUACUAUUACGUUCAAGUGUAUGAUUUGCUCAUGUAGACUGAUAAAGUGCACACAGUUAAUACUGAACAACAAAGGGUUUCCUUCAGGGAUUGACACAAAUGGCAACUGCAUUAAUGGGCUGGUGUUGCGACACUAGUUCCCAAUCCCAUCUUCUGCCCCAGCAGUGCAAGCUGCUCGAUGAACUCGCCUCCUGUAAGAAUUUCUGUCGUCCCAUAUAUAACAUGCUUAACUGGCUGUUGACGAUUGGCUAGCUCUUGCAAACUUCCAUACUCCACAUAGUUACCACCACCUAUCAUAAAGACAAUAGCUUCUUUAAAUGGUCCUUUCAGAUGACUGCUACUCAUCCCGGAGUUUGACUUGGGUGCACGAGGAUCAAAAAUAAUAUAAGAAUCAAUUUCUGGAUUGGGUUUCCCCUCCAUUAAUGCUUCUACUGUUCUUGACAAAGCCAACUGAUGAUCACUGGAUAAUAGAUUUUUAACACCUGCUGUUACAGCACUGAUUGAUUGCCCAUAGAGCUUUUCAGCCCAAUCAACAAUGUUGCUCCUACUCGCAGAAUUUGCUGAUGCUAAAGAGACAUUCAAUGAUUUUAUCUUCUUUACAUACUGAAAUGCUGUGGUAUCAACCUCAGACUCCCUAAGUGCUGUUUCAAUCAUUUCAACUUCUGAUUGAGGUAAACUUUCAGUCGAGAUAAGAUACAUGAUAGCGAACCGCAGCUUAUCCACCUUAGUCCCUUUGCCCUUGAGAGCUCCAAUGAGCUCACUGCGAUCAAUGACACCUCUUACCAUCAUAUCAUUCUCCUUUUUGGCAUACGAAUCAAGGGACCUCUCCUUGAUCUCACCUAACAAUGCUGUAGCAAUAUUCGUGUGCUUAUCAAUGACUUGUUUUCUCUCUGUCAACUCAGGCAGGGAAUUUACUGCAUUCAUCAAAUGCUUGGUAUUGCCAACCAAGUCUGUCCCAUCAAACUCAGCCCCUGGAUUCCCACCAGUUCGUUUAUUUACCUCCUCCACAUCCUGCUUAUACUUUUUCAACUGAGCUUCUAUCUCCAUAGCAACCUCUGGAAACACCAACGACCAAUUUGCCACCCAAAAUGGAUCAGAUCUGUCCAACUCAAAUGAUUUCAUCCCACCUUUCUCUCCCUGCACACUCAACCUGUUCAAUCUCAAACCAAGCACAUCAUGAACAAGUGGUCUAUACCUAAAAUCAUGUUGUAUAGCUACUGACAGCUCAAAGUUUCUAUCAAAUAAACACAAAAUUGGCCUCUGAAACGAGCUAGUGAAAUUCCCAGCCUCAGAGAAUAAAUUGUUUUUAGCUAACAGAUGGUCUCUCAAACGCUGAUCCAACAGGGAUGCCACCAUCUCAGCAGGUCCACCACGGGGACACCUGAUGAUAGGGACAACAGCAAGAGUAGCCAACACACAAAAUAAGCCACUGACAAUCUUUUCAAUGAUCUCUUCAAUUUCUUUAUCCCCAGCAGAGGGAUCAUUCAGUUGAAGAUAACAGUUCUUGUAGGCAAGUGAGAACAAAUUAUCCUCCAGCGUGACAAACUCCAAGUACUGAUCAUGCACUUUAGAGAUCCUUUCAAUCGAGUCAGAAUUAAUUGUGCCUGAAGCGAGAUCUUCGAGCAAGGGCCUGGGAACAGAAGAGGAGAAGUUCAAAUGGAAGGAAUCGUAAAGAGACUUGGAGGCAUCAGCAACGAUACGCUGUACAUUAAGAUGGGUGGGUUGGACGAAGUAGAGAGCAGGAACAUCAUGGACGGGUUUGCGAUCCUUGUCGAUAAGGAAGUAGAGGGUAACGCCGUGUUUACGGAGGUCCUUGACGUGAAUUAAAGGGGACAAAAUGUCUUGGCAGAAUCGAUCGUAAAUGAGGAUCUUGUAUACCUCCUCAUUGGCAGUGGCACCGGCGUUCACCGGCUGGUUCAGAUUUAACAUCCGCGUAAUACACUCAGUUUGCUUUUGACGAAGAUUUAACGCCAUUGUUUUGUAGGAGGAAAUGGGUGAGAGGGGUUUGUAG